rnacentral:rRNA from 1 species
UGGGGAAUUUUGCGCAAUGGGCGAAAGCCUGACGCAGCAACGCCGCGUGGAGGAUGAAGGCCUUCGGGUCGUAAACUCCUGUCAGUGGGGACGAAAGCCUCGCAAGAGGUUUGACUGUACCCGCUGAGGAAGCCACGGCUAACUCCGUGCCAGCAGCCGCGGUAAUACGGAGGUGGCAAGCGUUGUUCGGAAUUACUGGGCGUAAAGGGCGCGUAGGCGGCUUGGCAAGUCAGAUGUGAAAGCCCCGGGCUUAACUCGGGAAUUGCAUCUGAAACUGCUUUGCUUGAGUCCUGGAGGGGAUAGUGGAAUUCCCAGUGUAGCGGUGAAAUGCGUAGAUAUUGGGAGGAACACCUGCGGCGAAGGCGGCUAUCUGGACAGUGACUGACGCUGAGGCGCGAAAGCUAGGGGAGCGAACGGGAUUAGAUACCCCGGUAGUCCUAGCUGUAAACGAUGGGCACUUGGUGUUGGGGGUAUUGAGUCCCUGGUGCCGGAGUUAACACGUUAAGUCCG